UACGUAGGCAGCGAGCGUUGUUCGGAAUUACUGGGCGUAAAGAGUGUGUAGGCGGUGCUCUAAGUUCGGUGUGAAAUCUCCCGGCUUAACUGGGAGGGUGCGCCGGAAACUGGAGUGCUCGAACGUGGGAGAGGAAAGCGGAAUUCCCGGUGUAGCGGUGAAAUGCGCAGAUAUCGGGAAGAACACCCGUGGCGAAGGCGGCUCUCUGGGACGGUACUGACGCUGAGACGCGAAAGCGUGGGGAGCGAACAGG
rnacentral:rRNA from 1 species